CAGCAGGUCUGUAGCAAUACAGAUGCUGGCGACCGGCAAACGGGUGCGGAACACGUACACAACCUUCCUUUAAGUGGGGAAUAGCCCGGGGAAACCCGGAUUAAUACCCCGUAAUAUAAUGAGGUGGCAUCACUUUAUUAUUAUAGCUCCGGCGCUUGAAGAUGGGUGUGCGACUGAUUAGGCAGUUGGCGGGGUAACGGCCCACCAAACCUACGAUCAGUAACUGGUGUGAGAGCACGACCAGUCACACGGGCACUGAGACACGGGCCCGACUCCUACGGGAGGCAGCAGUAAGGAAUAUUGGUCAAUGGACGCAAGUCUGAACCAGCCAUGCCGCGUGGAGGAUGAAGGUCCUCUGGAUUGUAAACUUCUUUUAUCUGGGAAGAAACCCACGAAUUCUUUUGUGGUUGACGGUACCAGAUGAAUAAGCACCGGCUAACUCCGUGCCAGCAGCCGCGGUAAUACGGAGGGUGCAAGCGUUAUCCGGAUUCACUGGGUUUAAAGGGUGCGUAGGUGGGCAGGUAAGUCAGUGGUGAAAUCUCUGGGCUUAACUCAGAAACUGCCAUUGAUACUAUCUUUCUUGAAUACCGUGGAGGUCAGCGGAAUAUGUCAUGUAGCGGUGAAAUGCUUAGAUAUGACAUANAACACCAAUUGCGAAGGCAGCUGGCUACACGAAUAUUGACACUGAUGCACGAAAGCGUGGGGAUCAAACAGGAUUAGAUACCCUGGUAGUCCACGCCCUAAACGAUGGAUACUCGACAUACGCGAUAUACUGUGUGUGUCUGAGCG
rnacentral:rRNA from 1 species